rnacentral:rRNA from 1 species
UACGUAGGGUCCGAGCGUUGUCCGGAAUUGCUGGGCGUAAAGAGCUCGUAGGUGGUUUGUCGCGUUGUUCGUGAAAACUCACAGCUCAACUGUGGGCGUGCGGGCGAUACGGGCAGACUUGAGUACUGCAGGGGAGACUGGAAUUCCUGGUGUAGCGGUGGAAUGCGCAGAUAUCAGGAGGAACACCGGUGGCGAAGGCGGGUCUCUGGGCAGUAACUGACGCUGAGGAGCGAAAGCGUGGGGAGCGAACAGG